UGGGGGUAAAGUAACAAACAUGGAAACAGGAACAAGACUAACUAAACUAACAGGACUAGACUAAAACACAUCACAACUACAAAAUAAACUAAACUAACUCAAAGACAGGAACUCACCACAUUACACAAACACGACACAGUACAAUGAACCAGCACGAGACAGAAGACACAAGGACAUUAUAAAGAGGAUAAAUCAAGAGGGGACAGGUGCAGGACAUGAACUAAUUAACAAACAAUAACGAGGAGACGAAAGGGCGGGAACAGAGACGCCACACCGGAGAGUGGAAGACCAACAGGGACAAAACGUCACUCUCCACAUAAAACAAGAGGUUCUAUCAUGGUUCUGCCACUAGGUCAAGAGAAGCAAGACAAGGUGGGGCAGAACCAUGACAGAAGCCCCUCCUUAAGGAGCAGCAUCCUGAUGCUCCUCAAGGAACAAACAAGACUAGACAGACUGUGACAAAAAAACAUUAUACAAAACACGACCAAAAACGUGA